UGAAAUUUGUAAUAAAUUGUGAGAAUCACCUCAGUAAAGUAAUUUUAAAGCUUAAAUAAGCUAUAAAAUAUAUAUGUUUUUAUAUUAAAAUCAUUAAAUAAAAUAAAUUUUCUCUGUACCUUUUCUUUUUGUGAAUUCUGUAAUUUUUCCCGUAUGUCCUAUCCUCUUUGAUUGUCGAAUCCCAGAACCCCGAAUAAGCCAAACGCUCUUGUUUUUAUAUGACGAUGCUAUGUAGCUAUAGCAAUUGCUAAAAUUUAGCUGUUCCUAUGGUGUCCCCAUAGUUACAGCUAAGAGUGGCGCGAAAUUCGCCGUCUCUUAGGUAACAAUAAGAAUCUCGUAUUUUCAUCCCAACAACAUGUUACUUCUUUGUACUACCAAUAUUAUUCAGCUUUCGUUAAAUAAACCUCAAAUAAACUUUAUUUCAUUGAAAACUAUUACCAAAUAUAGAAUCAGGAUAAAUUUACCCAUAUCGAGCCUCUGAAAGUUUCCUUCUAUUUUCA
rnacentral:lncRNA from 1 species